AAAGGAAUAGACGGGGACCCACACAAGCGGUGGAGCAUGGGGUUUAAUUCGUCAAUACGCGAAGAACCUUACCAAGAUUUGACAUCCCGAGAAUCUUCCAGAAAUGGAGGAGUGCUGCAAAGAACUCGGAGACAGGCGCUGCAUGGUUGUCGUCAGCUCGUGCCUUGAGGUGUACGGUUAAGUCCGCUAACGAGCGCAACCCUCGUCACAUGUUGUAUAUUUCAUGUGAGACUGCCCGGUACAACCGGGAGGAAGGUGAGGAUGACGUCAAAUCAGCAUGGCCCUUAUAUCUUGGGCGACACCCGUGCUACAAUGGGGUAAACAAAGCGUAACAAUACAGUAAUGUGGAGUCAAUCGCAAAAAAUACCUCUCAGUUCGGAUUGAGGGCUGCAACUCGCCCUCAUGAAGUUGGAAUCGCUAGUAAUCGUGGAUCAGCCAUGCCACGGUGAAUAUGUUCCUGGGUCUUGUACACACCGCCCGU
rnacentral:rRNA from 1 species